GCCCUCGUAGCUCAGCGGAAGAGCACCAGCCUACGAAGCUGGGUUGUCAGGAGUUCGAAUCUCUUCGAGGGCGCCA
rnacentral:tRNA from 1 species